GGCACUAUGGCCGAGUGGUUAAGGCGUUAGAUUAGAAAUCUAAUGGGUUCUACCCGCGUGAGUUCAAAUCUCACGUCG
rnacentral:tRNA from 1 species